rnacentral:lncRNA from 1 species
GGAAUAGCAAACAAUAAAACCAGUAAGGAUGGGAAUGAAUACAGUGAGGAAUGGAAUGGGAGCACUGGGCCAGCCCAGCCCUGCAGCCAGAUGCCCGCCUCUCACUGCAGGUUACAUUUCUGUUCUCCCUCACAUCGCCCAAGCUAGCUCUAAACUCCUGUCUGAGAUUCCCAACAGCUGGGACACAGGCAUAUGCCACUGUGCCCAACCUUUUCAAUGCAACUGGCACAUUUAAGCACUGCCCAUUUAUUCAAAUGUUUUACAAAUCUUUACUGAGUGCCUAUCACAUGCUGGAAAGAAGUAUUAAGGGUAGGAAAAUAAUAACGUUGGCCUUUUUUACAAAUGAACAAGCUAGUAAGUACAGUACCAAAAUUCAGGUAGUAUUAAUUCUUCAAAGCAAAUUACAAAUGUGAGCUCAAAGAAUUAUAUAAGAAGUAGACAGUAUGCUGUGACUGGUGGGGCAUACCUUGGGGGGAUCUCUAAAUCUGUGGCCAGUUUGAUCUCAUAGUGAGUCCCCAGCACAUAGUGAUAAUCCAUUUCAAAAACCAGUAAAUAGAGGCUGGAGAGACGGCUCAGUGCUUAAGAGCACUAGCUACACGUACUGUGACUACUUUAUGAAUUUUACAACUCCUUGGGCACUACCCAGAAAUCAAAACUGGAGUGGGGCAGCAGAACAGUCCACUGGAUAAAGAUGCAUGUGCCAAGUCUGAGGACGUGGGUUUGGUCCCCGAGCCUACACGGGAGAAGGAGAGAGCUGACUCCAUAAUCCUGACGUCCACAUGCACACCAUGGUGUACUAGUGUUAGUCAAUGAAUGGGCUGCUUCACGUAUCCAUGAACAGUUUAACAGGCAAUAGAGUGCCGAUGUCCCAAACAAGGAAAGUGAAGGACUCCGCUGUCCAUAGAAGAGAGCAUUCAGUACAAAUGUCAGAAAGACAUAGCAUUUGGAAACAAUGUGAAAGUUAGGAACCUGAAACGCCCUGCA